UACGGGGGAGCAAGCGUUGUUCGGAUUACUGGCGUAAAGGGCGCGUAGGCGGCCACCGCAAGUCGACUGUGAAAUCUCCGGGCUUACCCGGAAAGUCGCCGAUACUGCGGGCUAGAGUGCAGAAGGGGCAACUGGAAUUCUCGGUGUAGCGGUGAAAUGCGUAGAUAUCGAGAGGAACACCUGCGGCGAAGGCGGGUUGCUGGGCUGACACUGACGCUGAGGCGCGAAGCUAGGGAGCGAACGGG
rnacentral:rRNA from 1 species